CAGCAGCCACGGUAAUUCGAAGGUCCCGAGCGUUGUUCGGAAUCACUGGGCGUAAAGGGAGCGUAGGCGGCGUGGUAAGUCAGAUGUGAAAUCCCGGGGCUCAACCCCGGAACUGCAUCCGAUACUGCCGUGCUAGAGGAUUGGAGAGGUAGCUGGAAUUCUUGGUGUAGCAGUGAAAUGCGUGGAGAUCAAGAGGAACACUCGUGGCGAAAGCGAGCUACUGGACAAUAUCUGACGCUGAGGCACGAAGGCCAGGGUAGCGAAAGGGAUUAGAUACCCCCGUAGUCCCUGUCUCUUAUAC
rnacentral:rRNA from 1 species